rnacentral:rRNA from 1 species
GAUAAACGCUGGCGGCGUGCUUCAGGCAUGCAAGUCGAACGGACCUUCGGGUCAGUGGCGGACGGGUGAGUAACGCGUUAGUAACCUGCCCAGAAGUGGGGAAUAACUUGCCGAAAGGCGAGCUAAUACCGCAUGUGAUGGCAUUUCCACGGAGAGGUCAUCAAAGGCUUCGGUCGCUUUUGGAGGGGCUUGCGUUCGAUUAGUUAGUUGGUGGGGUAAUGGCCUACCAAGACUUCGAUCGAUAGCUGGUCUGAGAGGAUGGUCAGCCACACGGGGACUGAGAUACGGCCCCGACUCCUACGGGAGGCUG